rnacentral:lncRNA from 1 species
CGUGGGAAUCGCUCCCGUCGCUCCGCCCAACUUGCAUUGCAACUCAUCAGGAGCUAGCCUUGUCUACUUCUUAAAAAUUUUGUAAAAAUUUUCAAAAUUUCUCAUCGAAUCAAAUCUUACAGCACAUGCAUAAAAAAAUUAAAUAUAGAUAAAAAAUAAAUAAUUAUACAGUUUGGCUGUAAUUUGCGAAAGAAAAAUCUUUUAAGCCUAGUUAGUCAACAAUAUUUAUAAAACACAAAUAAAAUGCUACAGUGUUUAUUUUGUAAUUUUUUGCAACUAAACAGGGCCUAAAAAACCACUGCCCAUAGAUCCGUGCCGCUCCCUCGCCUUCCCCAUCCUCGCCUCCCAGCCGAUCAUCCCUGCCUCUAUCAUGCUACCACUCAGCCUUCCUCUACCUUUGUCAUGUUCUGCCUUGCCACAGUUGCCUCCUCCUCCUUUGCUAUCGACACGGCCUGUGCCAUCGCGCGAUUGGUGCCCUUCUCUAUGGGUGAUAAGAGAGUAGGAGCGAGUUCCUCCAGCAGACAGAGAAGUCUCACCAAACUUGUCAUUCUCAUUGAAGAGUGGGAGUGGCAGCUGAUGAGAGCUCUACUAAAGUGGCCCUCAGGAUAUCAUAGUUUGAUUUCCUCUAUAUAGGUUGGCCAUUCUGACCAAAUAUAGAUGUACAACGUUUGGUUCGCUAGAUGGUGAACACAGUUGUCCCUCCUAUAUGAAAAAGGAUAUAGUGAGCAUAGCUCGCUACAAAAGGGAAUAAAAUCCAUUUCUCGAGAGCUAGACACCGACCUCUUUCUCUCUUCCCUCUCUCUUUCCUCCACAUCACGAAAAAAAUUCUGUGUGGUACUACAUGAGACAGAGUAUGAGAACGCUAACGUGUAGCAAUGUACAUGCCUUUAGGAGACAAAAAGAAAAGGAAAAAAAUAAGAACAAAAGGAAGAGUACAACAGAUUUAGGACCCAUAAGUCAAAAAUGCUUGAAUAUCAAGCUUUUUCUCUCAAGGACAACAAUCUCAU